GAGUAUGAUGAUAGGUAUUGUCGCCCAAGUCUUACAUGCAUCAAUACAACAUGGUGAUUGAUUUCAAUUUCUGAUUC